rnacentral:rRNA from 1 species
GACGAACGCUGGCGGCGUGCUUAACACAUGCAAGUCGAACGGGAACCUUUAUUUCGGUAAAGGUGAGAGUGGCAAACGGGUGAGUAACACGUAGGCAACCUGCCGACAGGAUGGGGACAACAUUCCGAAAGGAAUGCUAAUACCGAAUGGAGUCCGGGGAUGGCAUCAUCCCUGGAUAAAAGAUGGCCUCUGAAUAUGCUAUCGCCUGUCGAUGGGCCUGCGUCUGAUUAGCCAGUUGGCGGGGUAACGGCCCACCAAAGCGACGAUCAGUAGCCGGUCUGAGAGGAUGAACGGCCACAUUGGGACUGAGACACGGCCCAGACUCCUACGGGAGGCAGCAGUGGGGAAUCUUCCACAAUGGGCGAAAGCCUGAUGGAGCAACGCCGCGUGAGUGAAGAAGGUCUUCGGAUCGUAAAGCUCUGUUGCACGGGACGAAAACCGAGCUUGAGAAUAUUGAGUUUGGGGACG